UGUUUUACUUGGACCAACUUGUCAAAGCCUGAUGCAGAUCCAGAUCUCAGAAACUAAGCAAUACUGGACCUGGUUAGUACUUAAAUGGGAGAACACUGGGAAUACCAGCUGCUACAGCGG
rnacentral:rRNA from 1 species